rnacentral:rRNA from 1 species
GGUCAAGUUAUUAAGGGUGCAGGGCGGAUGCCUUGGCACUAGGAGCCGAUGAAGGACGUGAUAAGCUGCGAUAAGCUUCGGGGAGUUGCACGUAAACUUUGAUCCGAAGAUUUCCGAAUGAGGAAACUCACUUAGAGUAAUGUCUAAGUAUCAUUAAGUGAAUACAUAGCUUAAUGAGGGGAACUCAGGGAACUGAAACAUCUAAGUACCUGAAGGAAGAGAAAGAAAUUCGAUUCCGUAAGUAGCGGCGAGCGAACGCGGAUUAGCCCAAACCAAUAAAGUUUUCUUUAUUGGGGUUGCGGACAUAUCAUAACGAAGAGGUAUCGUAAUUGAAGAGGUUUGGAAAGACCCACCACAGAAGGUAAUAG